UACAGAGGUCUCAAGCGUUGUUCGGAUUCAUUGGGCGUAAAGGGUGCGUAGGUGGCGCUGUAAGUCGGGUGUGAAAUCGCCCGGCUCAACUGGGCGGGGUCAGCGGAUACGGUGUGGCUCGAGCAAGCUAGGGGGCAAUGGAAUUCCCGGUGUAGUGGUGGAAUGCGUAGAUAUCGGGAGGAACACCAGUGGCGAAGGCGGUUGCCUGGAGCUUUGCUGACGCUGAGGCGCGAAAGCGUGGGGAGCGAUCCGG
rnacentral:rRNA from 1 species